GACGAACGCUGGCGGCGUGCCUAAUACAUGCAAGUAGAACGCAGUUGCGAACGGGUGAGUAACGCGUAGGUAACUGCCUAAUAGCGGGGGAUAACUCUUGGAAACGAUAGCUAAUACCGCAUACUGUGAGAUGGACCCGCGUUGUAUUAGCUAGUUGGUGAGGUAAAGGGUACCCAAGGCGACGAUACAUAGCCUAACUGAGAGGGGUAUCGGCCAAAACGGGAGUGAGGCACGGGCCAGACUCCUACGGGGGGCAGCAGUAGGGAAACUUCGGGAAUGGACGGAAGUCUGAACGAGCAACGCCGGGGGAGUGAAGAAAGUUUUCGGAACGGAAAGCUCUGUUGUUGGAGAAACGGGAACUAACCAGAAAGGGACGGCUAACUACGUGCCAGCCGCCGCGGUAAUAC
rnacentral:rRNA from 1 species